UACAGAGGGGGCAAGCGUUAUUCGGAAUUAUUGGGCGUAAAGGGCGCGUAGGCGGACCUGCAAGUCGGGGGUGAAAGCCCGAGGCUCAACCUCGGAACUGCCUUCGAUACUGCGGGUCUCGAGUCCGGGAGAGGUGAGUGGAAUUCCUAGUGUAGAGGUGAAAUUCGUAGAUAUUAGGAAGAACACCGGUGGCGAAGGCGGCUAUCUGGACCGACAUUGACGCUGAGGCGCGAAAGCGUGGGGAGCAAACAGG
rnacentral:rRNA from 1 species